GGGCCCGUAGCGCAGCCUGGACAGCGCGGCUGCCUUCUAAGCAGUAGGCCGUGGGUUCAAAUCCCACCGGGCCCG
rnacentral:tRNA from 1 species